AUGAUGAUGGCAAAGCUAUAGACAUCGCCCUUGUACGUGCCCUUGUUCAUCAGCGUCAUACUCCUCAAGAGCUCUGGGGCUGUCCACAGCUGAUCUGCAGAUAGAAAAAGAUGAAGGAGUGAUCCAUCAGACUUAACAAACCGGCCAUCCACCACACAGUUUCGAGACUUCAGACGACCAUGAAUGAUACCCCGAUUAUGCAGAUACUUCAUUCCCUGAAGGACAAUGAGGGAUAACAGACCAAGAACAGAAGAAAUACAGAAAUAAGUGUUAAAAAUGAGAACAAGAGAAGUAGUUUGUUGGACUACAGUGUGGAACAGCAAAUGAGAUCAGGACCGAAUUGCACAGUCCAUAAGCAGGGAGGAUUUGAACAUCCAGUCAAGUCUCAUUUCUUCGUUGUUAAGUAGGUCCUCCAGGCUGCCUCUUGUGCAGUGUUCGGUCACAAUGCCGAAUAUCCCCGAGUCCAGAAACAGGCCCA